rnacentral:lncRNA from 1 species
GACUGCGAGGCUAGGAAGAGAGAGCGGGCAAAGGGGAGAGACUGGAGAAGAGGUGGAAGCCUUUACUUCGGAAGCAAAAUAUUAACAUGCUGAAAAGAAAAGGAAUACCCUUGGGUCCCUGAGUAAAGACCUAGUGUCUGCGUCCCUGGUAAUCUGGGCUAGAUAGCAAGUACCAGAGGGAAUAAUUCUGUGGAAUGGAGAAGCCAAUGGAAGCCUUAGAAAGAUUCUCAAGCUCCAGUGUAUUCCCGUAAAGGCAAACUGAGGAGGAUAACCACCAGUAAGACGCAGAUGCCAAGGGGAGAAACCCCAAAUCUGAAGAAGCCCUGUGUACAGGAAUGAUACCGUCUCCAAAACUUAGGUGAGAAGAUUAGAAAGAAGAGCUGCAGAAGACAUCUGUAGGUAGUAAAACAUGGUUAAGUCUGGGAGAAAUGAAGACUUUCCCAUAUAAACUAAAGCUGAAGGAAUUUAUUACUACUAGCUCUGCUCUGCAAGAAUUAUUCAAGAAUGCUUCAAAUUGAAACAAAAAGAGAGGAGAAAGCAACACAAAGAGGUAUGAAAAAUAUAAGAUUCUCCAGUAAAGGCAAAUAAAUACAUGGACAAAAAAAUAAUAAUAAAUAAAUACAUGGCCAAUAUAGUAAUCUGCACUAUUAUAACUUUGGCACAUAGAAUUACAAUGACAAAAAUAUUUUUAAAAUAACUAUAAAUCAACAUUAAAAGGUAUGUAAUAUAUAAUUUGUGAUAUCAGUAACAUAAAGUGGAGUGGUGGAGCUGUAAAGGAACAGAAUAUUUGUGUGCAACUGAAAUUGUUAUUAUCUGUUUAAAAUAGAACACUAUCACUUUAAGAUGUUUUAUGUAAUUGCAAUGGUAACCACAAAGAAAAUAUUAAACAAGGUAUCUAAUCAAAAUCAAAAUAAUAGACACCAAAAAUGGAAUGUUGGUUACCAGAGCCUGGGGGAAGGGGGAGGCGAAUUGUUUAAAGGGUAUAGAGUUUCAGUUUUGCAAGAUGAAAAGAAUUUGGGUGAUGGAUAGGGGUGAUGUUUGCAUAACAAUAUGCAUGUACUUAAUGCCACUGAAUUGUGCCCUUUAAAUGGAUGAUAUAUUUCAUAUGUAUUUUACUCCAAUUUUUUUUUAAAAAGCUCUAAGUCCCAUAUAACUAGUAAGUGACCAUACCAAUGAAUUCACUUCCAUCUAAAUUGUGUCCCAUUUCUUCUGGCAUAAGACUCUGCAUCCAUUACAUAAAUAUUCCCCAAAAUUUGCCAAUAGAAACAAGCAGAAUACUGCAAAAAAAAAAAAAUGCUAUGGGGUAGCCACAAAAUUAUGAGGGUUAGAGUCAAGGCCAGAACAGUGCCUCCAAUUCAUGGCACUAAAUAAAUCUGAAGUGUGUGCAUCAUGCUACCAGCACCUGGCACUGGGCGCUGUAACCUGCACCACUACCACCAGAUUCUGUCACUGGCAACACUUGUCAAAGUAAUCCAUGACUCCUUCCCACAGAUGAUUAAGAACCAAUGGACCAUAAGGUAGCUAUGAGCAGAAUAAUCUUAUGGAAACUGCCUAUCCGCAGAGUAGCUUCAAAGCAGUGUUCCCGGAACCAAUGAUAGUUUAACAUCUUAAAAAUGCAUUGGUAAUAUUUUUCAGUUUUAAAAUUAAGAAAUCACAUUUUUAAAAAAGUUAAAAAGAGCUCUGAGCUCUAAAUUCCUUUCAACAUCCUGAAUUUCAUCUGGCCUUUGUAAUAAAAAUGCAUGCUUUUAUACAUAUUAUGAGCAAUGGUCAAUCUACCUCAUUUUAUUUUUCUUUUGCUAUUACACAAAUGCACACUCAAGCUCUAACAAGUAUCUAGGUACAAUAUUUUUUAAAAAACCAAAAAACUACUUCUCUCUUGAGGUUGCCAGCCCCUCAAAAUGUCCCCCCGCUAUUCCCUGCCUCCUAGUCUUUGUACCCUGUGAGUCCCCUAUCACUUUGUACCAGGGUUAAUCUGUGUAACCAAUAGUGUAUGGUAGAAAUGAUGAUAAGUCACUUUCAAGAUUAGGUUUUUAAAAAUUUAUUUAUUUAAUUUUUAUUAAGGUAUGCUUCAUUUACAAUGUUGUGUCAAUUGCUAUUAUACAGCCUAGUGACCCAGUCGUACAUAUAUCCAAUCUCUUGGGAUAGAGCAGAUGGAAGAUAGUAUGAGGAAAAGAAUGUAUAUAAAUGUAUGACCAAGAUUAGGUUUUAAAAGACUAACAUGGCUCUCUUAGAGCUCUUGCUCUGGAGGAAGCCAAGUAGAUGCCAUGAGGACAUUCAAGAAGCCCUCUGGAGAGACCUACCUAGAGAAGAAUGAAGAUGUCCAGCCAACAGCCAGCAGUGGACAUGGGCCUCCCAACCAUGAUGUGAGUGAGCUAGGGACCAGAUUCGUUUACAGUAGAGCCUACCAAUAACUCAGGGCCUGCCAUCAGCUUGACUGGAACAUUCAGAAAGACCUGGAGCCAGAAUUACUUAACUAAAAUGCUCCCGCAGAAACCAUGGGAUUAUUUAAAAACAAUAAAUAAUAUUU